CAGCAGCCACGGUAAAACGUAGGGUGCAAGCGUUAUCCGGAAUUAUUGGGCGUAAAGAGCUCGUAGGCGGUUUGUCGCGUCUGCUGUGAAAACUGGAGGCUCAACCUCCAGCCUGCAGUGGGUACGGGCAAACUAGAGUGCGGUAGGGGAGAUUGGAAUUCCUGGUGUAGCGGUGGAAUGCGCAGAUAUCAGGAGGAACACCGAUGGCGAAGGCAGAUCUCUGGGCCGUAACUGACGCUGAGGAGCGAAAGCAUGGGGAGCGAACAGGAUUAGAUACCCCAGUAGUCCCUGUCUCUUAUAA
rnacentral:rRNA from 1 species